GAUGAAGAACGUAGCGAAAUGCGAUACGUAAUGUGAAUUGCAGAUCUCUCUGUGAAUCAUCGAAUCUUUGAACGCACAUUGCGCCCCCUGGCCUUCCGGGGGGCAUGCCUGUUCGAGCGUCUCCAGGACGAUUCCCUCACUCCGGCGAUCGGCGUGGUCAUGGCGGAGGUGGCGGGCCCGAGCCGGGCGGCCACCCCGCUGGAAUCGAUGGGCGGACGCCUGCCGCGUGGCCGAGCGUGAUAUGACACAUUGGCGCACCCGCGCGGCGAGGUUGCCAGCCCGGGCCCCUGUGUGGGGCGGGGAGAGCAAAGACAUUGGAACUCCUCGAAUCAGGCAGGGAUACCCGCUGAACUUAAGCAUAUCAAUAAGCGGAGGA
rnacentral:misc_RNA from 1 species